AGGACGAACGCUGGCGGCGUGCUUAACACAUGCAAGUCGAGCGGAAAGGCCUUUCGGGGUACUCGAGCGGCGAACGGGUGAGUAACACGUGAGUAAUCUGCCCAUCGCUUCAGGAUAGCCAUCGGAAACGGUGAUUAAUACUGGAUAUGACAUUCCUUCGCAUGUUGGGGUGUGGUAAAGUUUUUUCGGCGGUGGAUGUGCUCGCGGCCUAUCAGCUUGUUGGUGGGUAAUGGCCUAACCGAAGGUCUUUCGGACGGGUAGCCGGCUGGAGAGGGUGACCGGCACACGUGGGACUGAGACCACGGCCAGUACCUCCGACGGGAGCAGCGAGGUGGGAAUAGUGGAACUAAGU
rnacentral:rRNA from 1 species